AAUAUUAACUAGCUUAUUGCGGAGCAUAUUCCAUCUAAAACGGCAAAGCAGAUCAGUGAUAAAAGGCGCCUUCUGGCGAAAGGUCCCUCCGCUAAAAGUCAUCUAGGACCAGUAGCUGCUACUGGUACUGAACAUCAACCAGGGUCUGCUAAGUUGCCAAAGGAGGGUCAAUUAAAGCUCCAGUAUCGUGAGGCCAUCCAGGCGUGCUUAUUAGAGGGCAAGUUCACCAUGUACCAUGGGGCCUUCAAGAAAAUUUUUGAAGGGCAAGAUCUGGCUCUUGUGGUGAACGAGGUAUAUAAAGAGUUUCUGAAUGUUCUGGAUGUGCCGAGUCAAGUAAAAUCUACCAAGGGUCGUAAGAAGCAGACGCCUGGUAGUCAAAGAGCAUCCAAAACUCCAACAAAUUGGAUGUGUAAGAGAGCUAUUAAGAGGGGAAAAUUUUUAAGGUACCAACUGUUGUACGAGUUACAUAGAAGGCGACUCGCCCGUGUGAUUUUGGACAACACGGAAGCCUGCCAAUGCCAGUUACCACCUAGUAUUGUCCAUGAACACUUUAAAGAGAGGUGGGAGACAUCUGGUAUAUUUGGCGGCCUCAUGGACUUUCCUCCUUAUAUGGAGGCGGAUAAUUCCGUGUUCAAGGCGCUGAUAACUGGAAGGGAGAUUGAGAAAAACGUGAAUGAGAUGCGUAAGACCUCCGCUCCCGGGCCAGAUGGGAUUACAUUGGGUCAACUUAUUAAAAAAGACCCAGAGUUUUCCCGGUUGAGCGAAAUCUUCAACCUCUGGCUUGCUACCGGUACGAUACCAGAUGCGCUGCGGGACUGCAGGACAGUCUUGAUACCCGAGUCCUCGGAUGCCGAGAAGCUUGGUGAUAUCAAUCACUGGAGGCCUAUCACCAUUGGUUCUGUGGUGAUUAGGCUGUUUUCCAGGAUCGCUACGGCGAGGCUGUCCAAAGCAUGUCCCAUUAACCCCCGGCAACGGGGUUUUAUUUGCGCAUCAGGCUGUGCCGAGAACCUCAAGUUGUUGCAACUUGUGGUAAAGACAGCAAAACGGGAGCAUAAACAUCUGGGGGUCGUGUUCGUGGACAUUGCUAAGGCUUUUGACACCGUUUGUCAUCAGCAUGUGUUAGAGGGUCUGAUCCAAAGACAGGUAGAUUCGCAUGUUGUAGAGUUGGUGAGGGAAAUGUACUGUGAUGUUAAGACGUACAUUUCCCUGGAAAGGAAAAGGACAGACCCCAUAUACAUUCGCUCCGGUGUCAAGCAAGGCGAUCCUAUGUCACCCUUGUUGUUCAACUUGGCGAUGGACCCCCUUCUGUGUAAACUCGAAAAAGAGGGUGAAGGUUUCCACCAUGGAAGUUGGAAAGUCACUGCCAUGGCGUUUGCUGAUGACCUUGUGCUGCUGAUUGACUCUUGGGAAGGCAUGUGCCGUAACAUCGAGAUACUGGAGGCCUUUUGUAAUCUUACUGGUCUUCGUACGCAAGGGGAAAAGUGUCAUGGCUUUUACAUCAAGCCCACGAAGGACUCAUAUACCAUCAACGAUUGUCCUGCUUGGAAAAUUAAUGGAAUCCCUCUUAACAUGAUCGACCCAGGGCACUCAGAGAGAUAUCUUGGCACAUGGGUGGAUCCUUGGAUCGGCUUUGCAGAUCCGGGACUAUCAGGAAAACUUACAGACUGGCUCCAUCGGAUUGGGGGUUCACCCUUGAAACCUCUUCAGAAAGUCGAUAUACUCAGGACUUAUACCAUCCCUAGACUGAUAUAUCUGGCUGACCAUACUGAAGUGAAGGUGGGCCUCCUGGAAUCCCUUGACUUAUUAAUUCGGAAUGUAGUCAAGGAAUGGCUUCAUUUGCCUCAAAGUACAUGUGAUGCGAUCCUGUACUCGAGUUUUAAGGAUGGUGGUUUAGGACUCAUCAAGCUGGCGGCGCUCAUUCCAAGUAUUCAGGCGCGGAGACUGCAUAGAUUAGCUCAGUCUUCGGAUGAGACUCUGGUGGGUUAUCUAAAAGGGAUACAGCUGGAACGGUUAUUUGAGAAAUUGUGGUUGAAAGCCGGAGGGAAUCAGGAGUCCAUCCCGUCAAUUUGGGAGCCUUUACCAUUGGUUGAGUUGGAGGGAGGCGGUGAAGCCGGGUCAGAGUGGGAGGCACCCGUUCCUAAAGUCAGUUACCCGAGACCUUGUAACUGGAGAAAGAUCGAAUUUCAAAAGUGGGUCCAGCUGGUUGCCCAGGGCCAUGGGAUAAAGAACUUUGAGAAUGACGAGAUCAGUAAUGCCUGGAUAAGGCAGUUUAAGGGCAUACCUCACCGUAAAUUGAUCAUGGCCCUACAACUCCGAGCAAAUGUCUACCCGACAAGAGAGUUCCUGGCUAGGGGUAGACAGGAAGAUCUUGUCCAAUCAUGCCGACAUUGUGGUGCAAGAUUUGAGACCGUAGCCCACAUUGUCGCAACUGUGCAAUCACUCAAGAUGCCAGGGAUUAAGAGACAUAAUUCCAUCUGUGAAACUCUGGCUGAAGAAGCUA
rnacentral:rRNA from 1 species